rnacentral:rRNA from 11 species
AAACUUUUAACAACGGAUCUCUUGGCUCUGGCAUCGAUGAAGAACGCAGCGAAAUGCGAUAAGUAAUGUGAAUUGCAGAAUUCAGUGAAUCAUCGAAUCUUUGAACGCACAUUGCGCCCGCCAGCAUUCUGGCGGGCAUGCCUGUCCGAGCGUCAUU